rnacentral:misc_RNA from 1 species
UCCGAGUUGUCCCCGGCAGUCCUCUUAGAGUCCCCGGCAUUACCCGCUGGCAACUAAGAGCAGGGGUUGCGCUCGUUGCGGCAUUUAAGCCAACACCUCACGGCACGAGCUGACGACAGCCAUGCAGCACCUGUGCUAGCCCCUUACGGACACGGGCUUUCACCCGCUUUAACUAGCAUGUCAAACCCAGGUAAGGUGGGGAUGACGUAGACGUCAUAACC